AAACUUUUAAAUCAUUCAGUUAUCAAACAGCUUUAAGGUUACUACUUUCACUAGCACACAAUGUAGGCUAUCACAGUGUUCGUCUUCAUUAUCCUGGGCGCCUGUACCAACAGUACUCCAGUGGACGCUCAUAACGCUGGUUUAGCCAAGCAAGUGGGCACAUUCGACGAGGUCAGUCAUAGGAUAGCGUCAGCUCCAUUAUCUCCGUCUGGCAAUAACACCACUGUUUCCCAAGAAUCUCUGCCACCUUCUGGACCCAAGAAAACGGAAGAAUUCGUUACCAUCCAUUCGGUACCAUCCACUGAGGCUGAAUCCACAACAACUUAUAUCCAAAAGGCAAUAGGAAAAUAAAAUGUGAACGUAAAGAAGAGCUUAUUGGCUCAUAAAUCCUACUCCAGGUAAAGCUGCAUUUGUUGAAUUGGUUAUCUAGCCUUAAGGGCAGGUAAUAACGGAGAAAGUUCUCCCAUCGUAAACUGAUCACAAUCAGGAACGGCGCUGAGCAAAGGCCAGCGAACCACCCCUACCUAGCUGAGUAGACGACUACGUUGACGAUUACGUCAUCCCCGGAGGAGAAGAUCUCCAGCACAUACAGCCCUAGCAGAGCAGUCGAUUGCAUCGGCGCUGAAGUACUCAACCCCUUUCCCCUUGGACUGCGGUGCGGGAUAACCUAGGGCUACACUUAAAACAUAAUUUGUAUACUCUUACUUUAAGGACAUAUAGAAACGAAAUAUUUUGACGAAUAAUAAAAGAAUAUUCAGUUAAAUACGAA